rnacentral:RNase_P_RNA from 1 species
UGAGCCGGUCGGAUGGCCGCGGUUCGACGCAAGUCGAUCUGAGGAAAGUCGGGGCUUCACAGGACAAAGUGCUGGCGCGAGCCAGGUCGGGGAAACCUGACGACGGGUGCAACAGAGAGAGACCGCCGAUGGAUGGCGCCGCAAGGCGACGUCACAGGUAAGGGUGAAACGGUGCGGUAAGAGCGCACCAGCACGCGGAGCGAUCCGCGUGGCUCGGUGCCCCCACUUGAAGCAAGACCAUGCAGAGGGCAUGGGCGGUCCGUCCGCACUCCAGCAAUGGGGUGCACCCCUCGGGUAGGUCGCAUAGAGGGAUGGUCAUCGGUUGCGAUCACUCGCAACUACAGAACCCCGCUUACAGACCGACUCACCGU